UUGAUACUUAGCUGAGUGAUUCAACACAGGAGAACUAAUUAGUGGCUGGGACUGCUCCAAUCAUCCAGCUUGGUAUAUUUUAUAAGAUACUUAGUUGAGUGACGGCCUUUAGAUGUUUCAGAUGCUGAAGAGUAUUUUCUAAUUAAAUCAUCUGAGUUUACUGUACUUUCUCUGCGGGAGCAACCUGAAGCCAAAAGAACACAAAAGUGUACAAACUAAAAUAAAAACAUGUCCACAUGCCUAAUAACUUUGAAAGUCUGAGUCCUACUACAAUAGUUCAAACAAUCAAUAGUCAGAAGAGGCUAAUUAAGGUACUGGUAUAAGGUACUUAACUUUAACUGGGCACACAUAAUAUAGGAUUGAAGAAUUUAGAUAAGAUGCCAAGGGUUCUUCACUCUAUAUGGCACUAACCUGAGCACUAAAGCCAUGGUUGUCAUUGCAUAGCUCUAGAUUAAAUAAUAAGAACAUAACCAAAUGAUUUAUGCAUUAGUGCAUGAACAAAUAGAAAAAAAACAAGCCUAUAAUAUCCCAUGCUAUAUGCACACCAAAUGAAGGCCAAACAGAAGAUCGUCAAUAAGAAAAAUAGAACUAUGAGAGUAUAAAUUUUCAGGAAACGAUAGAAUGGUGGGAUUCAUUGUGCAAUAAUGAUUAUAAGCUCGGGUAUGUACAUUUGAACAAAUAGAAGAUUAAUAAAGGGAAACAUGCAAAAAAAAAGCUUUCGAAAAGCAGUAGUAUUUUUACCUCUGUAACAGAGGAAGUACAAAAAUGUAUUAGUUGGCAGCUCUCCGGAUAGCGAAUUGCCUAGGAAAAAGAACCAGUAGGUAUAAUAAUGGUGUUACUUUCUUGCGCAAGAACCAAAACUUCGCCAAAAAGUAAAAAAUAUUGGGCACAUUGCACCUUUAUUUUCCCUAUAAUCCUUGCAUUUUCUUCUAGACUGUAUGAUGGCGGUGCAAGCUAGCCAGCAUCUUCAGAUUAGUCCAUCCAAAAAGCACACCAAAGGUAACAGUUGGAUUGAUUGUAUCAUCCCUGAAACACCAUUAUUACAAAUUUAGUUGCUGCUUAAUAGUAAAUAGAAGUGUACUUCUUGCUUAUCACGCUUACUUAGGACUCAUAGGCCUUAUCUAAUCCCUCUCCGGCCAAAGCAAACCAUCUAUCUAUGCGAAAUAGGCAAGAGGUAGGCAAAGAUGCUAUAUACCUAAGAGUAUAAGUCAAUCUAAACUAAAGUACUGCUCACAAGAAAGCGAGCAUGAUAACACGUCGUUGCUUGCUCUAAUAAUAAAUAAGUUGUUGGAAAGGAGGAGGAGGCUCUUUUAUUUAUAAAGUUUAGUUUAGUGAUUUAGUACAAAUUAAUAAGGACAUGUCCAAACCUGACAGGCACAACAACCUCAAAUGGAUGGGGAUGGUUUGGUUAAAUCAGGAUGAGCGGAAAUGAAAUACACCAUAUACAUUUUCCAUGCUUUAACAUAUAUCCAUGAAAAGCAGAGAACUAUUACGCAUCCUCAUAUACUCACUAAAGAAGUAGAGAAUAGCAAUUGCUACUAAACUAUUUGUAUGCAUCCACAUACACUCAUUAGAAAAACAGAGUAAUGUGUGCAUGUUAUAUAAGUUAGUCGACUACCAAUCGUACGAACCUUUCUUUAGCAUGUUUGAGAAGAAUAACACGGCAGGAUCGACCAAAGCAAUCUUUCGCUUGAGUUGCU
rnacentral:lncRNA from 1 species